AGAAGUCGGGGGAGAUAAAUAGCUGGGAAACCACGUCUCACACUGUGUGGGACGUCUCAGCUCCUGCAGUCACCAACAUGGCUUUGGUCCUGCUUUCUGUCCUCUGGCUCAUUGUGCACACUGAAGCAUUAGCCAUAAGGCAAACACCUGAAAUAGAACUCUAUAAAGUAGUCCAUCCUAAAAAACUACACAUUUUACACAAAAGAGCGGUACAGAAUAACUGGACUGAGACCCAUGGUAAUGAGGAAAGAUAUGAACCUGAACUUCAGUAUCAGAUUAUUUUAAAUGGAGAAGUCAUUCUCUCCCUACAAAAAACCAAGCAUCUCCUGGGGCCGAACUACACCGAAACGUAUUACUCUCUUGAGGGAGAGGAGAUCACCACAAGCCCUCAGAAUGCGGAACACUGCUACUACAAAGGACACAUCCUGAAUGAAAAGGAUUCAGUGGCCAGCAUUAGUACUUGCAAUGGGUUGAGGGGAUACUUUACACAUCAGAAUCAAAGGUACAUGAUAAAGCCUCUGAAAAGCACAGACCAAGAAGAACAUGCUGUCCUCACAUACAACCAGGAGGAGCUGGACCCGGCUAAUCUCACCUGUGGUGUAAAAAAUGUUGGCAGAAAACACAGCAUCAUCCGCACCACUAGGUCACUCAACAGCCCAGAGCGAGAAGAAUUUCUUCGGGCUGCAAAACAUAUUGAUCUCUUUUUGGUGCUGGAUAAUGCCUUUUACAACAUGUAUCAGGGAAAUCUGACUUUGAUGAGAAGCUUCUUGUUUGAAGUGAUGAAUCUACUCAAUGUGAUUUAUAACACCAUAGAUGUUCAAGUGGCCUUGGUAGGUAUGGAGAUCUGGUCUGACGGUGAUAAGAUAAAGAUAGAACCCAACGCAGGUGUCACCUUUACCAACUUUCUGAAUUGGCAUCGUUCCAACCUGGGGAAAAUGAAGCCACAUGAUCAUGCUCAGCUACUCAGUGGACGUGCCUUUGCCCAUAAACGUGCAGGAGUGGCAGCCGCAAAUUCCCUGUGUUCCCCAUCUUCAGUUGCUGUUAUUGAGGCUAACAGAAAGAAUAAUGUGGCUCUUGUAGCAGUGAUGUCACAUGAGUUGGGUCAUGCCCUCGGUAUGCCUGAUGUUCCAUACACCACCAGGUGUCCCUCUGGGAGCUGUGUGAUGAAUGAGUAUCUAAGUUCAAAAUUCCCGAAGGAUUUCAGUGUAUCCUCCCGCUCACAUUUUGAAAGAUACAUUUCAUCUGCAAAAUCGAAGUGCCUGCUGCAAGCCCCAACUGCUAAAGAUGUACCCACAGUCCCAGUGUGUGGGAACCAGCUUCUGGAAGCGGGGGAGGAAUGCGACUGUGGCUCUUCUAAGUUUCUUGAUGUGAUGGAUUAUGUCAUUUUGUUCUGUACAACUGAGACACUCCUACAUUUUGGAAUGCUCCCAGCCGUGCUGCGAGGCCACUGACUGCAAGUUCAAGCCCAGUGCCGAUUGUGCACAGUGGACUCUGAACCACACAACCAAGUGAAUCAAAAAAUCAACUUUAUUGAAGAUGCUUCUUGCCUUCUUGCUGGGAUAGGAAUCUAGAAAUCUGAACAUACCAGGAGUCUUGUGUAUUAUCACUUUGCAUAUAUUGCAUAUAUCACUUUGAUAUAUUUUGCUUUUUAUUUGUCAUUAUCCUUUCUGUAUUUUUUUCCAGUCUAGCUCACUGGUGAAUAGAUGUACUUAAAGAAGCUGCCUCUUUUCUAAGACCUGUUCUUUGAUGUGUUUUUAAGGAUCAUAAAGCUGCUUUUAGCUGUGUUCUUUGAAAAACUAAGAAAUUAGCUCUCGACCAAAACACCUUGAAUGCACCACUGAAUCAUUCAGAGUCAAUCCAGAACUGUAAAAGUACAGGUGGCUUGUAUUUUAAUUCCACUUUCAUCUUCUUGGUUACAGCCCAUGAGAAAAACAACGUCAUGACUUGAGGACUAAAACCUUUCACUCUUGUGUUGUCUAUUCCUCCUCUGCCUUCCACUGGCCUUGCUCUUCCCAGUGUGCUAUUUUCCUGUGUCAUGUCAAGAUUCAUUAAAUAUAAACAUCUUUAUUCUAUCAUGCACAAUCCUCUCACCAUCACAGAUAAUAUUAAUUCUGAGACGUCUACUUUGCUUACAUUUUAAUUCAGCUAUCAAGGAAUGCUUUAUUCAUCUAUUGACUUAAUGAGCCAUAAUCAAUGAAUAAAAACACAACUUUUUUGAGGC